UUGAACGCUGGCGGCAGGCCUAACACAUGCAAGUCGAACGGUAACAGGAAGCAGCUUGCUGCUUCGCUGACGAGUGGCGGACGGGUGAGUAAUGUCUGGGAAACUGCCUGAUGGAGGGGGAUAACUACUGGAAACGGUAGCUAAUACCGCAUAACGUCGCAAGACCAAAGAGGGGGACCUUAGGGCCUCUUGCCAUCGGAUGUGCCCAGAUGGGAUUAGCUAGUAGGUGGGGUAACGGCUCACCUAGGCGACGAUCCCUAGCUGGUCUGAGAGGAUGACCAGCCACACUGGAACUGAGACACGGUCCAGACUCCUACGGGAGGCAGCAGUGGGGAAUAUUGCACAAUGGGCGCAAGCCUGAUGCAGCCACGCCGCGUGUAUGAAGAAGGCCUUCGGGUUGUAAAGUACUUUCAGCGGGGAGGAAGGGAGUAAAGUUAAUACCUUUGCUCAUUGACGUUACCCGCAGAAGAAGCACCGGCUAACUCCGUG
rnacentral:rRNA from 1 species